rnacentral:snRNA from 1 species
AGCAUGAGCUACCUUUUAGAAUUGGAACAAUACAGAGAAGAUUAACAGGGCCCUGCACAAGGAUGACAUGCAAAUUCGUGAAGCACUUCAUAUUUUU